ACGGGGGGAGCAAGCGUUGUUCGGAAUCACUGGGCGUAAAGGGUGCGUAGGCGGGUCUUUAAGUCAGAGGUGAAAUCCUGGAGCUCAACUCCAGAACUGCCUUUGAUACUGAAGGUCUAGAGUUCGGGAGAGGUGAGUGGAACUGCGAGUGUAGAGGUGAAAUUCGUAGAUAUUCGCAAGAACACCAGUGGCGAAGGCGGCUCACUGGCCCGAUACUGACGCUGAGGCACGAAAGCGUGGGGAGCAAACAGGA
rnacentral:rRNA from 1 species